GCGAACGCUGGCGGCAGGCCUAACACAUGCAAGUCGAACGGAUCCUUCGAGAUUAGUGGCGGACGGGUGAGUAACACGUCGGAACGUGCCUUUUUGUUCGGAAUAUCUCCUGGAAACGGGUGGUAAUGCCGAAUGUGCCCUUCGGGGGAAAGAUUUAUCGCCAUUAGAGCGGCCCGCGUCUGAUUAGCUAGUUGGUGAGGUAAAGGCUCACCAAGGCUACGAUCAGUAGCUGGUCUGAGAGGAUGACCAGCCACAUUGGGACUGAGACACGGACCAGACUCCUACGGGAGGCAGCAGUGGGGAAUAUUGCGCAAUGGGCGAAAGCCUGACGCAGCCAUGCCGCGUGAAUGAUGAAGCUCUUAGGAUUGUAAAAUUCUUUCACCGGUGACGAUAAUGACGGUACCCGGAGAAGAAGCCCCGGCUAACUUCGU
rnacentral:rRNA from 1 species